rnacentral:rRNA from 1 species
AACGAACGCUGGCGGCAGGCCUAACACAUGCAAGUCGAGCGAAGCCUUCGGGCUUAGCGGCGGACGGGUGAGUAACGCGUGGGAACGUGCCCUUUGGUACGGAAUAGCCCCGGGCAACUGGGGGUAAUACCGUAUGUGGUCGAGAGACGAAAGAUUUAUCGCCAAAGGAACGGCCCGCGUUGGAUUAGGUAUUUGGUGGGGUAAUGGCCUACCAAGCCGACGAUCCAUAGCUGGUUUGAGAGGAUGAUCAGCCACACUGGGACUGACGACACGGCCCAGACUCCUACGGGAGGCAGCAGUGGGGAAUCUUAGACAAUGGGGGAAACCCUGAUCUAGCCAUGCCGCGUGAUCGAUGAAGGCCUUAGGGUUGUAAAGAUCUUUCAGUGGGGUAGAUAAUGACUGUACCCACAGAAGAAGCCCCGGCUAACUCCGUGCCAGCCGCCGCGGUAACAC